UAACAACACACAACAUUCCAGGAAUGUACUACCAAAGUUCUAUCAAUAUUUGAAUGUCCUGGACAUUUAGGGAACAUUCGGUGAACAUCUGUUUAAAUUAUUCCUGGAAUGUUACCAUAAGACAUUCUGUGAACAUACUACCAAUGUUCCUAUAUUUUAAGUUGCGAAAUAAUACAUACGUGUAAGAGAUACAACAUUACUUAUAACAUACCAGACAAACUAAGUGACAUUUUAGGCCUACAGUGCAAUAAUAUGUCAAAUUUAAAGAGUUUCCCAAGAUUAUAAACAUACAAAUGUAAUAAAAAUUAUUGUUCGCGAAUAUUCAAUUUGGAAUGCGAUUUUGUUAAUAAAAAAAAUACUUAUAACUUAUGCAAAACCCAAGAGAGGCAUUUAUAUUUAUUUCUUUUGCGUUCAUUUUCAAAUUCGCCGUGCAUAUAUUUUUGUGCAUGGCGCUUGAGAGGGCAUCACGUGACUAAAAACGACCAACCAACGACCUCGCUUCGGCCAUCUUGGCAUCUUCAUCUUGGCGACCUUGCCUUGCCGUGGAUUGUUUUUAGUUGUUUGUAUUAUUUGUGCUUUUUAAGAAUAUUUUUUUAAUUCGGAUACUUUUAUAAUAGCUUUAAUAGUAUUAUUAACAUAGUGCAUAAAAUGGUGUCCUGUUUUUAACGCAGUUGGAGUAGCAGAAACAAAUGUAGAUAAAAAAAUCUGCAGGAAUAACGUUUCAAUUAUGACAGAAGCUCAAAACAAAUGACUGUGAAUGAAAAGCCCUAUUAAAAGCUUUCCAGAAGAUCCUGCGAAGAAGACAUGAAGUAUAGAUCAGAUUUGUUAAUAGAGGAGUAUGUUCAAAACACUUUUUAGAAAAAGAUAUUGACAGAACUUCACUUUCAUCUGUUCGUUUGAGAGACUGUGCUGUUCCAAUAGCUUAUGUCACACAGAAUCAGCUGAGAGAAGUGGUCUACAAAAAACCAGAAAGGAAACGGAAUAUGUGGCUACGAAAAGCAAAAGAAAGGUUUACAAAGCAAAUGUGACACAUUUUUUUAUAAUAUUUAGGAAUGUCAGCAAAUUACAUUAAAAAAUGUAUGUAAAGAUUUUUUGCAAUAAAAAUG